CCUACGGGUGGCAGCAGUGAGGAAUAUUGGUCAAUGGGCGUAAGCCUGAACCAGCCAAGUCGCGUGAGGGAUGAAGGUUCUAUGGAUCGUAAACCUCUUUUAUAAGGGAAUAAAGUGUGGGACGUGUCCUAUUUUGUAUGUACCUUAUGAAUAAGGAUCGGCUAACUCCGUGCCAGCAGCCGCGGUAAUACGGAGGAUCCGAGCGUUAUCCGGAUUUAGUGGGUUUAAAGGGUGCGUAGGCGGCCUUUUAAGUCAGCGGUGAAAGUCUGUGGCUCAACCAUAGAAUUGCCGUUGAAACUGGGGAGCUGGAGUAUGUGUGAGGCAGGCGGAAUGCGUGGGGUAGCGGUGAAAUGCGUAGAUAUCACGCAGAACCCCGAUGGCGAAGGCAGCCUGCCAAGCCAUGACUGACGCUGAUGCACGAAAGCGUGGGGAUCAAAUAGGAUUAGAUACCCCAGUAGUC
rnacentral:rRNA from 1 species